AUGAUAGCUGUCUGAUUGUUUGUUUACAGUUUGCAUGUUUGUUGUGACUCUGAUAAGCUGUACUCAAGAUGUAAUGACGAUUGAAAAUAAGACCAAUUGGGGAGAGCUUUGUGGAACUUUAACUAAUUUAACUCCAAACCAGUCGCUGACUUUCCAUGGACUAGACAAUGUGGGAAUUCCAAAGUGUACCAUUCGUCUUAGAACAGAGAAUGGAUAUCUGUUACGCCUAAACAUUAAGUAUGUGCCUGACAUAUCAGGAUGCGCUAAAUCGUAUCUUCAUAUCGGAAAUGACGCUUUCAGAACUGACGUCGACUCUCUUACGUCAUAUAAAUUUUGUGAUGUCAUUUGGGAUUUAGAGAUUGUCUCACGGGGCCACUAUUUGUGGAUCGUGUACAAUAAUUCUGGAAAUGUGAAGCAUAGUCGAGAGAGCCCAGAAAUAAACGUCCAGGUUCUCAAAAAAGUGUCCUCUUGUCCAGACAACUUUUUCCGGUGUUCUCCUGUUCAAUGUAUACCACGUGAUCGAGUCUGUGACAAAAAGAUAGACUGUCAGAAUAGAAGAGACGAGUAUUGUUUGUUUAGUCCCUCCAGUAGUGGGGUCCCAGACAAGCUCGCCUGUUUUGAAUGCGCUGAUGGUCGCUGUAUAAAUCCCGUACUUCCGGUGUAUGACGAGGACUUUGAGAAACCUCUGUCAUUUCUAUGUGAUGGUUACAAUCAUUGUGCAGAUGGCACAGACGAGAGAAAGGAUAUGUGUUAUAGAACGAAGAGUAAAGUUUCUGACCUCUUAACCUGUGUUCCCAUGGACACGAGAUUUGGAAUCAACACAAGCGUUACGAUGUGGCAGGACCGCGUGUGUGACGGUGUUCCCCACUGUCUCAAUGGUCAGGACGAGGCAUUCUGUGUUACUGGAAUUCCUGUAAGGUUCCGUAUGAGUUCGAGCGUCAUUAUCAUUCUGACGUGUGCCGGGACCUUGCUCAUUGCCUGGAUUGCCUGCUUCGCUUACAGAAUACGUAAGAAAACCUUCGUUUAACAAGACCUUCAUCUGACUCUCUCAUUUGAUUGACUAUAUUUCAAUUUUUUUUUCAGGCAACAAAAGCCGUGCUUCAGACCCAUUCCAAGAUCAGAUCACCUCGCGCAGCCGCAUCUACCAGUCACGUGAUAGCCAGAACCCGGCAGAAAUAUGUCGCUUACAAACUGUAUCCGAAGAAUCCGAAAAAUGGGAGUGACCACCAAUCAUUUUUUGGUGAAACUUUUAUAUAACUGUUCGAUAAAGUUUUCCUUUUUAUUAUUUUCAUUGAUGUCAUGUGAUAUUAGUAAUUACAUAGUGUCAUU
rnacentral:misc_RNA from 1 species